rnacentral:rRNA from 1 species
AGAGUUUGAUCAUGGCUCAGGACGAACGCUGGCGGCGUGCUUAACACAUGCAAGUCGAGCGGUAAGGCCCUUUCGGGGGUACACGAGCGGCGAACGGGUGAGUAACACGUGGGUGACCUGCCCUCAGCUCUGGGAUAAGCCUGGGAAACUGGGUCUAAUACCGGAUAUUCACGUGCCUCUGCAUGGGGGUGUGUGGAAAGUUUUUUCGGCUGGGGAUGGGCCCGCGGCCUAUCAGCUUGUUGGUGGGGUGAUGGCCUACCAAGGCGACGACGGGUAGCCGGCCUGAGAGGGCGACCGGCCACACUGGGACUGAGACACGGCCCAGACUCCUACGGGAGGCAGCAGUGGGGAAUAUUGCGCAAUGGGCGGAAGCCUGACGCAGCGACGCCGCGUGGGGGAUGACGGCCUUCGGGUUGUAAACCUCUUUCGACCGGGACGAAGAGUGAUUGACGGUACCGGUAGAAGAAGCACCGGCCAACUACGUGCCAGCAGCCGCGGUAACACGUAGGGUGCGAGCGUUGUCCGGAAUUAUUGGGCGUAAAGAGCUCGUAGGCGGUGUGUCGCGUCGGCCGUGAAAACUUGGGGCUUAACUCUGAGCUUGCGGUCGAUACGGGCAUCACUUGAGUUCGGCAGGGGAGACUGGAAUUCCUGGUGUAGCGGUGAAAUGCGCAGAUAUCAGGAGGAACACCGGUGGCGAAGGCGGGUCUCUGGGCCGAUACUGACGCUGAGGAGCGAAAGCGUGGGGAGCGAACAGGAUUAGAUACCCUGGUAGUCCACGCCGUAAACGUUGGGCGCUAGGUGUGGGGGCCAUUCCACGGUCUCUGUGCCGCAGCUAACGCAUUAAGCGCCCCGCCUGGGGAGUACGGCCGCAAGGCUAAAACUCAAAGGAAUUGAC